AAAGAACCAAUAUUUUUUUUUUUUGGUGACUCAUAAUAACUUUACGGAUCACAAUUUAUUUUGUGACAUAUCAUUCAAGUUUCUGACCUAUCAGCUUUAGACGGUAGGGUAUUGGCCUACCGUGGCUAUGACGGGUAACGGGGAAUUAGGGUUCGAUUCCGGAGAGGGAGCCUGAGAAACGGCUACCACAUCUAAGGAAGGCAGCAGGCGCGCAAAUUACCCAAUCCUAAUACAGGGAGGUAGUGACAAGAAAUAACAAUACAGGACUUUACGGUUUUGUAAUUGGAAUGAGUUAAGUAUAAACCCCUUUACAAGUAUCAAUUGGAGGGCAAGUCUGGUGCCAGCAGCCGCGGUAAUUCCAGCUCCAAUAGCGUAUAUUAAAGUUGUUGCAGUUAAAAAGCUCGUAGUUGGAUUUCUGUUAAUACCUUAUAUAUAAUAUUUUUUAAAUAUUAAUAUGUAAGAUUAACAUAAUUCAUAUUUUUAAGACUGAAUUUUUAGUUUUGAUAAUAUGAAAUUUUACUUUGAGAAAAUUAGAGUGCUUAAAGCAGGCUUUUGCCUUGAAUACUCCAGCAUGGAAUAAUAAUAAAAGAUUUUUAUCUUUUUUUUAUUGGUUCUAAGAUAAAAAUAAUGAUUAAUAGGGACAGUUGGGGGCAUUUGUAUUUAACAGUCAGAGGUGAUAUUCUUAGAUUUGUUAAAGACAAACUAAUGCGAAAGCAUUUGCCAAGGAUGUUUUCAUUAAUCAAGAACGAAAGUUAGGGGAUCGAAGACGAUCAGAUACCGUCGUAGUCUUAACCAUAAACUAUGCCAACUAGAGAU
rnacentral:rRNA from 1 species